rnacentral:rRNA from 1 species
CAAUAAGCGGAGGAAAAGAAACCAACAGGGAUUACCUCAGUAACGGCGAGUGAAGCGGUAACAGCUCAAAUUUGAAAGCUGCCAACAGGCCGCGUUGUAAUUUGUAGAAGCUGCUUUGGGUGUCGGCCCGGUCUAAGUUCCUUGGAACAGGACGUCAUAGAGGGUGAGAAUCCCGUAUGUGAUCGGUGCCGUUGCCCGUAAAGCGCUUUCGACGAGUCGAGUUGUUUGGGAAUGCAGCUCAAAAUGGGUGGUAAAUUUCAUCUAAAGCUAAAUAUUGGCCAGAGACCGAUAGCGCACAAGUAGAGUGAUCGAAAGA